rnacentral:rRNA from 1 species
CGCAAGCCUGACGGAGCAACGCCGCGUGAGGGAUGAAGGCCUCUGGGCUGUAAACCUCUUUUCUCAAGGAAGAAGAUCUGACGGUACUUGAUGAAUAAGCCACGGCUAAUUCCGUGCCAGCAGCCGCGGUAAUACGGGAGUGGCAAGCGUUAUCCGGAAUUAUUGGGCGUAAAGCGUCCGCAGGCGGUCUUGUAAGUCUGUCGUUAAAACGUGGAGCUUAACUCCAUUUCGGCGGUGGAAACUACAAGACUAGAGUGUGGUAGGGGCAGAGGGAAUUCCCGGUGUAGCGGUGAAAUGCGUAGAUAUCGGGAAGAACACCAGUGGCGAAGGCGCUCUGCUGGGCCAUAACUGACGCUCAUGGACGAAAGCCAGGGGAGCGAAAG